CGCGGCGGUUUUGCUUUCCCAGUCAUCACCCCGUUCCACCAAGCCGAUCAAUUCGCCCCUCAUCAUCAAAAAAAAAAAAAUCAAUUCGCCCGUCGCACCGCCGCCCGUUCCGAGCUCCGCGAGGUCGAUCCGCUCUGUCGCCAUCGCCCCCUAGAUCAGAUCAGUACCUGCCGCCGCCAUUGCCGUCGACCGCUGGCCGGAGUCCCGCGACCCAAUCCUAACGCGCGGGGACUCAUUCAUCAUCUUGCCAUCGUGCGUUCCGAGCUCGGCAUGGUGAUCCACUCCCGUUGUCAUUGCCCAAUGCCCACAGGAGCUUCUUCGAUGGUGUAGCAUUUGGGCGGAUCCGGCACGGCGGCCCACUUUGAUCCAGCUGCACGCGAUGUGCGGUAGAAGCAUCCCCAGGCCCCUGCCCAGCAAUCUGCUCUUCUGAUGGAUGAGGUCUGAUUCUCCCCGCCAGCGCAAGGUGCCCUGUGUCCUUUUCCGGUCUGAUUUUUGUUGAAUUUGAUUGAUUUCUCGUGGUGGUGCCAAUGAUUUACGCAGAUAGUACAUGAAUUUUGGCUGUCGAUUGUUGCAAUCAUGGAGUUGCAGGAUAUUUUUCCUAUUUCCCAUUUGAUUCCGUGAGGCAGCACACCAGGGUGUGGAAAUCCAAGUUCCAGGGUACAGGUUCCUCUAGCUCAGGUACGACAGGCCUGUGAAGCAGUAGUGCAAGACAGUUCAUGUCAGCUCACCUUGCAGCGGUCGCAGCAGCCACGUCUCCAAGGGAUGGAACCUGGCAGCUCAUCUGCUGCACCAGGAUCAGUGCCACCCCGUCCAAGGGAGCCCAUCCGCCAUGCCCGUAAAGUGUUUGACAAAAUGCUCAGGAGGGCAAGUAGUGCUGUGAUAUUUUGACAGAAGAUUUUGCAGUAUCGUUCCUUUCAGGCAUGCUCUUUCUUUCACUUAACCAGCUUGACAAAUUGGAACUGUACGAAUUGUUGAUUGUUCCUUAGACAAAGCAAAAUUUUGAAGGUAUUUAGACAAAGCAAUGCUUAACCUGUUUAGUCGACUUAAGCUGUCACUGGUUUUGUAUUCUAGAAUUUCUUUUGUCAGUAUAAAAAUUGAUAUAGUGAUGGCUGGUGAUGGAGGAUUUCUUCACUAGUCAACGCAAAAUAAUGGGCUAGUGCAGAUAAUAAGGAUGAUUUUUAUAUUUAAGAAUUGAGGAUUUCAUCAGCUAGGACUGUCACUAUCUUCUAAUAAUGGGCAGAAACGAAGCACUUCCUAUGUGCUGAUUAUAGCUGUUUCCUUGGUACGUUCAAUCCUUUGCUGUUAAAUUUCAGCAUAUAAAUGAGAUAUAAAUGACUAGUAUACGGUUAUGAUGAUUGAUCGAGUUCUCUAGAUUGGAGUUCACAUUUCUGAACAAUCCAUUAUAGCCAAUUUUUCAGAUACAUGUGGCGACCACAUUUCUAAUUAAUUCACUGUAGUUAUCUUUUUUCAAAUUUCAAAUCGAUGUGGCCAGUGACAUUUCUAAUUAAUUCAUGUAACCAAAUUUUCAGUUUGUUGUGGCAACUUCAUUUUCCAGUAAAGAUCAAGACUGCCAUUUUUAUUGGCUUCACAUAAGAAGAUAAUGCUA